UACAGAGGGUGCAAGCGUUGUUCGGAAUCAUUGGGCGUAAAGGGUGCGUAGGCGGCGCGGUAAGUCGGGUGUGAAAUCUCGGGGCUUAACUCCGAAACUGCAUUCGAUACUGCCGUGCUUGAGGACUGGAGAGGAGACUGGAAUUUACGGUGUAGCGGUGAAAUGCGUAGAUAUCGUAAGGAAGACCAGUGGCGAAGGCGGGUCUCUGGACAGUUCCUGACGCUGAGGCACGAAGGUCAGGGAGCAAACGGG
rnacentral:rRNA from 1 species